GAUGAACGCUGGCGGCGUGCCUAAUACAUGCAAGUCGAGCGAACAGACGAGGAGCUUGCUCCUCUGACGUUAGCGGCGGACGGGUGAGUAACACGUGGAUAACCUACCUAUAAGACUGGGAUAACUUCGGGAAACCGGAGCUAAUACCGGAUAAUAUAUUGAACCGCAUGGUUCAAUAGUGAAAGACGGUUUUGCUGUCACUUAUAGAUGGAUCCGCGCCGCAUUAGCUAGUUGGUAAGGUAACGGCUUACCAAGGCGACGAUGCGUAGCCGACCUGAGAGGGUGAUCGGCCACACUGGAACUGAGACACGGUCCAGACUCCUACGGGAGGCAGCAGUAGGGAAUCUUACGCAAUGGGCGAAAGCCUGACGGAGCACCGCCGCGUGAGUGAUGAAGGUCUUCGGAUCGUAAAACUCUGUUAUUAGGGAAGAACAAAUGUGUAAGUAACUAUGCACGUCUUGACGGUACCUAAUCAGAAAGCCACGGCUAACUACGUG
rnacentral:rRNA from 1 species